CCUAGCAUUACAUUUUUUAUCAUUUCCAGUACAGUCUUCCCAGGUUUCAAAGCUACCAGUUUGGUUAAGAAGUUAACCUCAGAUUCGGGAAGUGUUCUGAAACCACGGUCAUUUCUUUCAUCCAGUAUUCCACCUCCCAUCAUAUUUCUAGCUUCCUCUCUGAUUAAAACAAGCCUUGCAAGUAGUUUUCGAUCUGGAACAACUGGCCGAGUUUCCAUUGUCUCCAACAAAUCAUCUGCCUGGUUUGCUAUAUCAUUUAGAUUUGCUGCUGGAAUAUGAACUUUGGUUCCAUUCUUACUUUCAAAGACACCACCACCAGCAGCCACUCNNNNNNNNNNNNUAGUUCAUGCCUGCUUUCUUUCUCAGGAGUUCUGCAAAGCAAGCCAAUCACUUGAACAUGUGGUGGGCAUUUUUUGGUUAGAUGGGAUAAUACAGUUUCCUUGACAACUUCCAAUAGUGACUUGCGCUUAUCAUCUUGGUCCUUUUCAGCAACUUGAAUCAUGUAAUCUAGAGCCAUCAUAAACCCUGAUUCCAUCUCAUCAACUCUUUUCCCAAUGACACCUUGUGCAGCCAAUUCUACUGCCACCUUCUCAGAUGCUUCAUCCAUGUUCAUAUCCUCCAAAAGGGUAAUCAUUUCUUGGAGGACAGAAGUGACUUGUUCUCCGCCUUUGAGCACAGCUUCAUACUGGGAAGAGUCCAAUUUCUC
rnacentral:misc_RNA from 1 species